AUGGGAGGCGGAAUCUACGAGUG
rnacentral:piRNA from 1 species